rnacentral:tRNA from 1 species
GGCUUUGUGGUGAAAUUGGUAGACGCGCUGGACUCAAAAUCCAGUGGUAGCAAUACCAUGUCGGUUCGAGUCCGACCAGAGCCACCA